GGCCAGAGGCGCCGGUUGGACUCACGGGCGGGGCAUGAUGGGUAACAGGACCGUGGUGGGUACAGGCACCUCGCUGGCGCUCUCCUCCCUCCUGUCCCUGCUGCUCUUUGCUGGGAUGCAGAUGUACAGCCGUCAGCUGGCCUCCACCGAGUGGCUCACCAUCCAGGGCGGCCUGCUUGGUUCGGGUCUCUUCGUGUUCUCGCUCACUGCCUUCAAUAAUCUGGAGAAUCUUGUCUUUGGCAAAGGAUUCCAAGCAAAGAUCUUCCCUGAGAUUCUCCUGUGCCUCCUGUUGGCUCUCUUUGCAUCUGGCCUCAUCCACCGAGUCUGUGUCACCACCUGCUUCAUCUUCUCCAUGAUUGGUCUGUACUACAUCAACAAGAUCUCCUCCACCCUGUACCAGGCAGCAGCUCCAGUCCUCACACCAGCCAAG
rnacentral:sRNA from 1 species